CACUUCAGAAGAUGAAGCUUUCCCUUCGGGGACAAAGUGACAGGUGGUGCAUGGUUGUCGUCAGCUCGUGUCGUGAGAUGUUGGGUUAAGUCCCGCAACGAGCGCAACCCUUAUUACUAGUUGCCAGCAUUUAGUUGGGCACUCUAGUGAGACUGCCGGUGACAAACCGGAGGAAGGUGGGGAUGACGUCAAAUCAUCAUGCCCCUUAUGAGCUGGGCUACACACGUGCUACAAUGGCAAGUACAACGAGCAGCUAACCCGCGAGGGUACGCGAAUCUCUUAAAACUUGUCUCAGUUCGGAUUGUAGGCUGCAACUCGCCUACAUGAAGUCGGAAU
rnacentral:rRNA from 1 species